rnacentral:rRNA from 1 species
AGUGAACGCUGGCGGCGUGCCUAAUACAUGCAAGUCGAACGAUGAAGCUUCUAGCUUGCUAGAAGUGGAUUAGUGGCGCACGGGUGAGUAAGGUAUAGUUAAUCUGCCCUACACAAGAGGACAACAGUUGGAAACGACUGCUAAUACCGCAUAAGCCCACAGAACCGCAUGGUUCUGGGGGAAAAGGAGCAAUUCGCUUUGGGAUGGACUCGCGUCCGAUUAGCUGGAUGGUGAGGUAACGGCCCACCAUGGCAACGAUCGGUAGCCGGACUGAGAGGUUGAUCGGCCACAUUGGGACUGAGACACGGCCCAG